rnacentral:rRNA from 1 species
AGUGAACGCUGGCGGUAGGCCUAACACAUGCCAGUCGAACGGCAGCACAGUAAGAGCUUGCUCUUACGGGUGGCGAGUGGCGGACGGGUGAGAAAUACAUCGGAGUCUACUUUUUCGUGGGGGAGAACGUAGGGACACUUACGCUAAUACCGCAUACGACCUACGGGGGAAAGCAGGGGAUCUUCGGACCUUGCGCGAGUGUAGGAGCCGAUGUCGGAUUAGCUAGUUGGCGGGGUAAAGGCCCACCAAGGCGACGAUCCGUAGCUGGUCUGAGAGGAUGAUCAGCCACACUGGAACUGAGACACGGUCCAGACUCCUACGGGAGGCAGCAGUGGGGAAUAUUGGACAAUGGGCGCAAGCCUGAUCCAGCCAUACCGCGUGUGUGAAGAAGGCCUUCGGGUUGUAAAGCCCUUUUGUUUGGGAAGAAAAGCAGCAGGUUAAUACCCCGCUGUUCUGACGUUACCCAAAGAAUAAGCACCGGCUAACUUCGUG